GACGGAACGCUGGCGGCGUGCCUAACACAUGCAAGUCGAACGGAGAAUUUUUAUUUUCGGUUAGAAUUCUUAGUUGGCGAACGGGUGAGUAACGCGUAGGCAACCUGCCCUUUAGACGGGACGAACAUUCCGAAAGGAGUGCUAAUACCGGAUGUGAUCAUCUUGCCGCAUGGCAGGAUGAAGAAAGAUGGCCUCUACAAGUAAGCUAUCGCUAAAGGAUGGGCCUGCGUCUGAUUAGCUAGUUGGUAGUGUAACGGACUACCAAGGCGAUGAUCAGUAGCCGGUCUGAGAGGAUGAACGGCCACAUUGGGACUGAGACACGGCCCAAACUCCUACGGGAGGCAGCAGUGGGGAAUCUUCCGCAAUGGACGAAAAGUCUGA
rnacentral:rRNA from 1 species